rnacentral:rRNA from 1 species
UACAGAGGUGGCAAGCGUUGUUCGGAAUUACUGGGCGUAAAGGGCGCGUAGGCGGCCUGUUAAGUCGAACGUGAAAUCCCCGGGCUCAACCCGGGAACUGCGUCCGAUACUGGCAGGCUUGAAUUCGGGAGAGGGAUGUGGAAUUCCAGGUGUAGCGGUGAAAUGCGUAGAUAUCUGGAGGAACACCGGUGGCGAAGGCGGCAUCCUGGACCGAGAUUGACGCUGAUGCGCGAAAGCCAGGGGAGCAAACGGG